GUUCGGUAUCUUCCCCUAAUCUCCUUUCUUCUCUCAUUAUCUCUUUUUGAUUUUCCUGCCUGGCUCCAUCCUGCCCUGCCAUAGGCCAAUGCUACUUUAAUUACUAACCAAUGGGAACAGCAUAUAGUCACUUCGUACAAAAAGACACCCUACAGCAGGCAGGCAUCCACGAGGUGGCCCGUAACUGUCUAACAGUUCCAGGGGAGCCAAUGUCUUUGCCUUUUUGGGUACUGCACACAUACGGUGCAAAGACAUUCAGGCAAAACACCUAUAUACAGAAGUAAAAUAAAAAUAAAUCUAAGCUGGGUGUGUUGGCACAUACUUUUAAUUCUAGAACCCAGAAGGCAGAGGAGGGAAUUUGAAGCCAAUCAGGUCUACACAGUUCCAGGAAAGCCAGAACUACAUAGUAAGACUCUUUCUCAAGUAAGUCUUUAAAAUAAAAUCUAAUAAAACCAAAAUUAGGCUGUUUGGUUAGAAAAAAAUAGGACUAAUGUAAAUUUUAAUAUUCUAAGUGACUUAGAGGAGAUGAUGAAGAAUUCAAAGUAGUCACAGUAAUCUUAGUGGUGUGGUGGCUUAAACUGCAUGUUUUUUUCUUUUUCUCACUGACUUCCUAUCUUGCCCACAGUACAUAUACAACCACAGUAAAUCCCUAUGGGCAUAUUUUGAAACUCAAAGGCAUUAAUAACAAGUUUUAGAAGCUGAGAGUAUCUGGCUUAGUGAUGGGUAGCAUAUGUUCAGCAUGUGUGAGAUCCCCGUUUUAGUACUUUAGUUCCCACAAACAAAAACAAAAAUCCAGUUUCUAAAAGAAUAUGUUUUCAAAGUUUCAUAAGCAUGGGGAUGAAUCAGAUCAUUCCAGUUAUUAAUCAGAAAUGAUAAGAUACAUGAACACAAAUCUAUGAAAAUAAAGAUUAGCCGGGCGAUUAAAGUUUCCAAUCAAAUACGAAUUUUAAUAAGUAGAAAAGUGAUUGGCUAAUAAACAGUAGUAAUAAAAUCACUUAACCUAGGUCACUGCUCUAUAAAUAUGUGGAUUUACUGCAUUUUUAUUACUAACCUUUGUUAUUUUUGGUUCCAAAGGGAGGAUUCAUAAUUACUGUAUCAAAUAAUUUGGACAUUCUGUUUGAUAAUGAGCGCACAUCACACUGGAUCAUAUCAACAU